rnacentral:rRNA from 1 species
AUAAUGCAAGUCGAACGCACAGCGAAAGGUGCUUGCACCUUUCAAGUGAGUGGCGAACGGGUGAGUAACACGUGGACAACCUGCCUCAAGGCUGGGGAUAACAUUUGGAAACAGAUGCUAAUACCGAAUAAAACUUAGUGUCGCAUGACACAAAGUUAAAAGGCGCUUCGGCGUCACCUAGAGAUGGAUCCGCGGUGCAUUAGUUAGUUGGUGGGGUAAAGGCCUACCAAGACAAUGAUGCAUAGCCGAGUUGAGAGACUGAUCGGCCACAUUGGGACUGAGACACGGCCCAAACUCCUACGGGAGGCUGCAGUAGGGAAUCUUCCACAAUGGGCGAAAGCCUGAUGGAGCAACGCCGCGUGUGUGAUGAAGGCUUUCGGGUCGUAAAGCACUGUUGUAUGGGAAGAACAGCUAGAAUAGGAAAUGAUUUUAGUUUGACGGUACCAUACCAGAAAGGGACGGCUAAAUACGUGCCAGCAGCCGCGGUAAUACGUAUGUCCCGAGCGUUAUCCGGAUUUAUUGGGCGUAAAGCGAGCGCAGACGGUUUAUUAAGUCUGAUGUGAAAGCCCGGAGCUCAACUCCGGAAUGGCAUUGGAAACUGGUUAACUUGAGUGCAGUAGAGGUAAGUGGAACUCCAUGUGUAGCGGUGGAAUGCGUAGAUAUAUGGAAGAACACCAGUGGCGAAGGCGGCUUACUGGACUGCAACUGACGUUGAGGCUCGAAAGUGUGGGUAGCAAACAGGAUUAGAUACCCUGGUAGUCCACACCGUAACGAUGAACACUAGGUGUUAGGAGGUUUCCGCCUCUUAGUGCCGAAGCUAACGCAUUAAGUGUUCCGCCUGGGGAGUACGACCGCAAGGUUGAAACUCAAAGGAAUUGACGGGGACCCGCACAAGCGGUGGAGCAUGUGGUUUAAUUCGAAGCAACGCGAGAACCUUACCAGGUCUUGACAUCCUUUGAAGCUUUAG